rnacentral:lncRNA from 1 species
GUUGUUCUAGGUUGUCAGAACUGCGCCAUGAUAUUAAAGGUAAGUUUCAUGUGACAAAACUGACAGCAGUUGAACGGAAGAGAGGGACGGAAGGUUAAUUUAUCAGAGACGAGAACAAUGUGAGGUCUAAAAUCUGACCCCUACACCUGCUAGACCAUGUAACAGUGACAGGCAACUUUGAAGCGCUGACCGCUCUCUGCAGGAUAUCAAGGUUCCGACACCUCACUUGUUCCACAAAAUGGUGGCUAAUGAAGACUGAUGCGGGAUCCAACCUCGUCAUAACGCCCCGGUUAGCGAGACAUGGAUUGUUGGUUGCAGCAUAGGAUGAUGGGAUUGUGGGGUGGAUUGUAGUGAUGCACGAAAUUUAUGACACUUUUCCACCGCUUCAACCAGGACCCUCUAAGGUCUUGCUGCGAGGGGUGGGGAAAAGGUUGGUCUAUUGUGCAACCUUUCUACAAAAACCUCGCAGGGGACCACUAAAUCAGGAGGGGGUGCUGCAGCACCUGUCCACUUUGGCAAAAGACCACAAUGGCGAUAAUAACCCAACUGGAAAUUUCUCUGCAUUUUAUUGUUUAAAGACAAAUAGAAUUCGAC